rnacentral:rRNA from 1 species
AAGACCUUGCGCUUUUGGAGCGGCCGAUGUCUGAUUAGCUUGUUGGUAAGGUAAAAGCUUACCAAGGCUUCGAUCAGUAGCUGGUCUGAGAGGACGGCCAGCCACACUGGGACUGAGACACGGCCCAGACUCCUACGGGAGGCAGCAGUGGGGAAUUUUGGACAAUGGGGGCAACCCUGAUCCAGCCAUGCCGCGUGAGUGAAGAAGGCCUUCGGGUUGUAAAGCUCUUUCAGCCGGAACGAAACGGUUACGGUUAAUACCCAUGACUACUGACGGUACCGGAAGAAGAAGCACCGGCUAACUACGUGCCAGCAGCCGCGGUAAUACGUAGGGUGCGAGCGUUAAUCGGAAUUACUGGGCGUAAAGCGUGCGCAGGUGGUUUUGUAAGUCAGAUGUGAAAGCCCCGGGCUCAACCUGGGAACU